rnacentral:misc_RNA from 1 species
UUUCCGUAGGUGAACCUGCGGAAGGAUCAUUAAAAAAAGAGAAACGUCCCGUUCUUUUUCAUAAGAAUGGGUUCUAUUCCCUUAAACCGUGUCCACAUACCUUUGUUGCUUUAGCAGGCCGCCUUCGGGCGUCGGCUCCGGCUGAUAGUGCCUGCCAGAGGACCCAAACUCUAUGUUUAGUGAUGUCUGAGUACUAUAUAAUAUUCAAAACUUUCAACAACGGAUCUCUUGGUUCUG